rnacentral:rRNA from 1 species
CUCCGGUGGAUCCUGCCGGAUCUGACUGCUAUCGGAUUGGUACUAAGCCAUGCGAGUCAUUGUAGCAAUACAAGGCGGACGGGUCAGUAACACGUAGUCAACCUAACCUAUGGACGUGGAUAACCUCGGGAAACUGAGAAUAAACCGCGAUAGAUCAUUAUGCCUGGAAUGGCUUAUGGUUCAAACAAUUUAUUGCCGUAGGAUGGGACUGCGGCCUAUCAGCUUGUUGGUGAGGUAAUGGCCCACCAAGGCUAUAACAGGUACGGGCUCUGAGAGGAGAAGCCCGGAGAUGGGUACUGAGACACGGACCCAGGCCCUAUGGGGCGCAGCAGGCGAGAAACCUUAGCAAUGUGCGAAAGCACGACUAGGUUAAUCCGAGUGAUUCCUGUUGAAGGAAUCUUUUGUCAGUCGUAAAACCACAGACGAAUAAGGGGUGGGCAAGUCUGGUGUCAGCCGCCGCGGUAAUACCAGCACCUCGAGUGGUCAGGAGGUUUAUUGGGCCUAAAGCAUCCGUAGCCGGCUUUGCAAGUCUCCGGUUAAAUCCAGCUGCUCAACAGAUGGGCUGCCGGAGAUACUACACAGCUAGGGAGCGGGAGAGGCAGACGGUAUUCUGUGGGUAGGGGUAAAAUCCACUGAUCCAUAGAGGACCACCAGUGGCGAAGGCGGUCUGCCAGAACGCGUUCGACGGUGAGGGAUGAAAGCUGGGGGAGCAAACCGGAUUAGAUACCCGGGUAGUCCCAGCUGUAAACGAUGCAAACUCGGUGAUGCAUUGGCUUAUGGCCAAUGCAGUGCCGCAGGGAAGCCGUUAAGUUUGCCGCCUGGGAAGUACGGACGCAAGUCUGAAAUCUUAAAGGAAUUGGCGGGAGCA